rnacentral:rRNA from 1 species
GAUGAACGCUGGCGGCGCCUAAUACAUGCAAGUCGAGCGAACAGACGAGGAGCUUGCUCCUCUGACGUUAGCGGCGGACGGGUGAGUAACACGUGGAUAACCUACCUAUAAGACUGGGAUAACUUCGGGAAACCGGAGCUAAUACCGGAUAAUAUAUUAAACCGCAUGGUUCAAUAGUGAAAGACGGUUUUGCUGUCACUUAUAGAUGGAUCCGCGCCGCAUUAGCUAGUUGGUAAGGUAACGGCUUACCAAGGCAACGAUGCGUAGCCGACCUGAGAGGGUGAUCGGCCACACUGGAACUGAGACACGGUCCAGACUCCUACGGGAGGCAGCAGUAGGGAAUCUUCCGCAAUGGGCGAAAGCUUGACGGAGCAACGCCGCGUGAGUGAUGAAGGUCUUCGGAUCGUAAAACUCUGUUAUUAGGGAAGAACAAAUGUGUAAGUAACUAUGCACGUCUUGACGGUACCUAAUCAGAAAGCCACGGCUAACUACGUG